UGCGGGCUCGUCUAAUGGCAGGACAGCGGACUCUGAAUCCGUAUGUAUUGGUUCGACUCCAGUGCCCGCAG
rnacentral:tRNA from 1 species